rnacentral:rRNA from 1 species
GACGAACCGUGCGAACGUUGUUCGGAAUCACUGGGCUUAAAGGGCGCGUAGGCGGGUCAUCAAGUCCGGGGUGAAAUCUUUCGGCUCAACCGGAAAAGUGCCUUGGAUACUGGUGAUCUGGAGGGAGGUAGGGGCAUGUGGAACUUCCGGUGGAGCGGUGAAAUGCGUUGAUAUCGGAAGGAACUCCGGUGGCGAAAGCGACGUGCUGGACCUCUUCUGACGCUGAGGCGCGAAAGCUAGGGGAGCGAACGGG